rnacentral:lncRNA from 1 species
UUUUUUUUUUUGCUCUUAAAAAGAAAAAUCUAGCCUGUUCUUGAACUGAGAGGAACCUGUGAUUGUAUGCUAAUGCUUGCUCUUUGCCUGUUUCUCAGCUUGGUGAAGUUUUCCAGAUGAUUUUCCAAAGUCGUUGCUCAUCAUAAAAGCAAAAGGUCACUUAACAUAUUUAUAUGUAUUUGUAACAAAUAAAAGACAUGAAUAACCACUUUCUCUGUCCUACAUGUCUCUGAAGCCAGCUGGCAGUCAAAGCAAAACCCCUGCUGAAGGAAGGUAAAGCAGAGACAGUCAUUUGUGGAGGAGCAGCGUGGUGAAGUUAGGUGAAUGAUGGGAAUACUCGGAAAAAGCUUGUGAACAUUCAGCUCCUUAACAGCAGGGAUUUGAUUUUUCUCCAGUUUCUCAUGAAUCGUGAGCACAUAAAAAAUGUUGUUUAUGCCUGACCUUUAGAGUCAAGUAGGAAGAGAUUUUAGCUUGUGUAUGUUGACGCUUGCUGGAGAAUGCUGUGCCCUGAAAGUGGUGUUCGAAAGGGGAUAUUGUAGCAUCAACCUUAGCUCUGUGGGCACCCAUGUAAAACGUGGCAGGGGAGGAAAUUGCUUAAAGACUCUGCUUAUGCCUUUGGCUUGGUUUUCUGUUAUAGCCACAGCUUGACCCUAGACCUAUGUGUGGAGUUUCGGCCAUUUAGUGUCAUGACUAAACUAAUGAUCUCUUGCCAAGUAUUGACUGUGUUAGUACAAGUUACACAGCGAGUCCCUCGCUGGUGAGGUUUCUGAUGUCGCUUGUGUUGACUUAAUUUGGUUUCCUGGUUUAUGCUGUUUAAUGCUUUGGUGCCUUGUAUGCCUCACUAAUCACUAUAUAAUAAUAGUAAUAAUUAAGGUGCAUCCAGUGAUUUCUGUUCAGAUUGGAGUACCCACCCAAUGUCAGAGCAACCGCAUAAACUGGUACAGUCGCAGCCUGAGGGGCUGGAGCUGUCCGUGGCCAUUUGUGUUAGGAGUGGGGUGUAACUAUUUAGGGUUAUUAAACCAAUUUCCAUGCCUGUCGCUAGUGUUAUGCUAAUGUGAAAAGGACUGCCAUCCCUCUAAAGCUGCUUGUCUGUGGCACUUAAUUUUAAUUAAUACAUUUCCAAAAGACUUUCUGUGUUUGCAAAACCAAGUGUGUGAUUAAGCCUCAUUCAUAAAGACAUAUCUUUAAAACUGGUUCCCACAUGUUUCCAUUUUUAUAUCUUCAUUUCUUUUUUUUUUUACAGGAUAGCUUUACAAACAGUUUAUUUGUUGUACUUUUUUCCGUAAAAGAAAGUCUUAAAUACUCUUCAAAGGCAUCUGAUGAAGCAGAAGCCAACCAAAACCACUGCUGAAGCAGAAAUGACUGGAAACUGCAAAUCAGCAAAGGUCAUUUGCUGACUGAGUUGUUGCUACAUAAUAUUUGGGAGGAAAGAAAGGUCAGUUUAACAGAGAAUCAUGAUUUUUAGGUAAAUGUUUACUACUUCUGGUUAAAAUUAUAGAAGAUUGAGCACUUGGGAAUAGUUAAAUGGAGAUUAGUUUAACUGUUCAUUUUUCACCAAAAUUGAAGUACUUGGACAAUAAAGUAUUUAAGAGCUUAAUAUUAAAUAUGAGUUAGGUUUGGUUAAAGACUUGCACUAGUACUAAUGGAAUUUAUAAUUGCUUCUUUCUCAAAUCAUUAUGGCAAAAAAUGUGGCUUGCUAAUUUUAGAGCCUAAAAAAGUCUUCACAGCCUUAGAGACAAGCUAUUUUUGGAACAAUGGUUUUUAGUAUCGUGGUGAUUUAAUUUUUUCCCCUAUAAUUUACAUCAGUAAAAAGCUUCCUCAUGUUACUGUAUCUACCUAGAAUCCUAAAAAUACACCUUUGGAGAGUCCUUGAAAUAUUUGAGAGCCCGCUUCGAAUUAAACAGUCUUAGGAGGCUGAACAUGGAAUUUCAAAUAUAGGAGAUAAAACCUGAAUUAAAGAAAAUUUUGAUAGGAAAAAUAGCAAGCUUGAGUGUCUCAAGUAUUGUUAAAAGGCUAGGUGUUAAAACAGAAAUGUAGAACUUCACAAAGCAAUGCUAGAGAAACUUGUAAAUCAUUAUUAAAUUACAGGGGUUUUAAUUCAAAAGUAAAAAGAAAUCGAACUGUAACUUUUCAUGCAACGAACAAAUUAAUAUUAACUAAAGCAAGUUCACUAACUUCUCAGUUAAUCUGAAAGUUCAGCGCUGCGAGUUGCUUCUACCCACUGCAGACUUGUAGGAUUUUAACUCUUCUCGCUCAAGAGUUGAAUCCCAUGCUGAGCCCAUUGCAUUUCCCUUUGACAGAAGGAUCUGUAUCUAUGUGAUUUAUGCUUUGUGCUGAGCUGCUGCUAAAACUGCUGCCAAGGGAAUGCCUAAUACCACUGGAAAGAUGAUUUUGUUGGGAGGGGAUGAACUAGCAUCUGAUUAUUGUGUUUGUGUGUGAAGCAUCGUUGCUAACCUUGCAGAUGUGCAUGGUUAUCCUGAGGAUGAGAUCCUGUAACUUGUCAUUUGUUUUUCCCCUUCGCUGGCAUAUGAAAAACAGCUUACUUUGUGUACCAUGUAAGGUUUUAAGUGUCUGCUUCCAGUUGAUGUUUCAGAGAAUAUAAAGAGAGGACUUCAAAAUGCUGAAGGUCUUUUUAUUUCUGCUCAAAUGUUCUUGUUAUGCUGCCUGCUUCCUUUUUCCAAGAAGGAUUUAUGGUGUAUGCUCAGAUGGAACUGAAAUACAGAUCAUGUGUUCUAAUGUA